rnacentral:rRNA from 1 species
GAUGAACGCUAGCUACAGGCUUAACACAUGCAAGUCGAGGGGUAGCAGGGUAGCAAUACCGCUGACGACCGGCGCACGGGUGAGUAACACGUAUCCAACCUACCGUUUACUCGGGGAUAGCCUUUCGAAAGAAAGAUUAAUACCCGAUAGUACAAAGAGUUCGCAUGUUCUCUUUAUUAAUGGAUUCCGGUAAAUGAUGGGGAUGCGUUCCAUUUGAUUGUUGGCGGGGUAAUGGCCCACCAAGUCUUCGAUGGAUAGGAGUUCUGAGAGGAAGGUCCCCCACAUUGGAACUGAGACACGGUCCAAACUCCUACGGGAGGCAGCAGUGAGGAAUAUUGGUCAAUGGGCGUUAGCCUGAACCAGCCAAGUAGCGUGAAGGAUGACUGCCCUAUGGGUUGUAAACUUCUUUUAUAAGGGAAUAAAACGGGGAACGUGUUCCCCUUUGCAUGUACCUUACGAAUAAGGAUCGGCUAACUCCGUGCCAGCAGCCGCCGUAA